UUUGUAGUGUUUCUAAAAAAAAAAAAACAAAGAUCUCCCCCAUUUUUUCUCUGCUAGGGUUUCAAAAGAAACCCACUUUUGGGUCGUCGCCGUCAUGCCUCCUUGAAGCCGCCGUGGCUUCCACAGUCGAGGUGGCCGGGGCCGCGAAGAUUCGGGUGGUGUCAGUGGCGUUUGACGGGCGCGGCGGCCGGGGACAGGCCUAGGUGGUUGCUAGGAGCGGCGGCUGAAGAGGGUGAGGGGUUAGGGUUUGCUGAAAUGUUUUAGGGUAGUUGGUUUAAGGUUUUUAGACUUUUAGGCUUGUUGUUUUGGGUUAUGUAUUUGGGUAGUAUUUUUUAUCUUGGACUGUUAUUUGGUUGUAUAAUUUGGUUUUUGUUUUUUUUUUUAAACGGGCCGGGCAAUUUUGGCCCAUUACACAUUUCAAAAGUAUAAAACUUGGCAGAACUCUCACAUACGUUCAAUAAAAA